AGUGAACGCUGGCGGUAGGCCUAACACAUGCAAGUCGAACGGCAGCACAGUAAGAGCUUGCUCUUACGGGUGGCGAGUGGCGGACGGGUGAGGAAUACAUCGGAAUCUACUUUUUCGUGGGGGAUAACGUAGGGAAACUUACGCUAAUACCGCAUACGACCUACGGGUGAAAGCAGGGGAUCUUCGGACCUUGCGCGAUUGAAUGAGCCGAUGUCGGAUUAGCUAGUUGGCGGGGUAAAGGCCCACCAAGGCGACGAUCCGUAGCUGGUCUGAGAGGAUGGAGAGGCAACAUGGGAAAGAAAAAAGGGUCAGGACCCGUAGGGGAGGAGGAGGGGGGAAAUGUGGGAAAGGGGGCGAAGGCUGAACCCAGCAAUACGGGGGGGUGAAGAAGGGCUUGGGGGUGUAAAGCCCUUUUGGUUGGAAAAAAAAAGCAGAAGUUAAAAACCCCGCUGUUCGGAGGGUACAAAAAAAAAAAGAACCGGCAAACUGGGUG
rnacentral:rRNA from 1 species